UAGUGGUCGUUUAGUGGAUUUGUGGCACUUGGGCAGCUUUUCUCUAUUUUUAGAAUGCAUGAGGUAUUUGCCGUCUGCUAAACGAAGGCUUUUUAUAUUCCGUUUGGGUUUGAAAGCUUGAGCCGUUUAGAACCCGUUUAGUGGUCGUUUUGUGCAUUUGUGGCACUUUGAUAAAUUUAACUUCACGCAAUACUCCUACGAUAGAAGAAAUUUUAAUAUAGGAAAACACAUUCAACACAGUUGAUCACACACAAAUUAUUAAUUUCAGGCGUAUUGAGCAUUAGUGGAGCAGAUAUGGAAAAAUAAUUGCGAACAAAAUUGUGGUGUAAGAGGUUCCUUGUAUCUCGGGGUCUACUUGUACUUUCAAACUUUGUUUGCCAAACAUUUUUAUGGCGUAUCUCUGAAGCUUACUGUACAAUGAUGAGCGAGCCGUCAAAUAGUUAAAUUCAUGUGGCCAAGGCUUAAUGUAAACAAAAGUUCCCUACAUUUUCAUAGAUUUUUGCGAUUUCUCAGUUAUGUUUUCAUGCAUGUAGCUUUGAAAAAAUCACGGGAGAAAUUAUCAUAUGUUGUAUAGGAAAAGAUCGAUUUGCGUUUGAUUGUUUUUUCCACGUUAAUGUUAGGCGAAGUCUUAGGAUUUCCGUAUGAUCUCGUGCGAUUGCCUAAAUGUGUUUACCCGAUGUUACCCCAUAUUUCGCCACCGAUUGUUAUACCUUCCUGUAAUUUUGUUCUAAUAUAAUCACUCUUGCAUUUUAGGUGCAGCGGUUGCUUAUUCUGAAAACGAGAAUUGUCAAAAGUCUCAGUUCACGCAUGGAUGCAUAACAUGGAAUGAUGUUGUAGCGAAUGCAAUUUUUCUUCUUAGGCUCGCUCACUAUUGUGCUCGUCGGUCACGAUCCAUGGAUACGGUAUGGUUGAUUGAUGCAAACGACUCCGACCAGUCGGUGCUGAAUGACGCAUAAGAGCUAGUGGUGGUCUAUACGACUUGAAAUCGAUGCACCAACGAAUCGAGGUCGCGUAUGCCUUCUUGCACCUUCUUGAUCUUCCGGGUAUAGUCGAACUCCGACGUAUUGCACACGCUGGACCCACGGGACGAUUCAUUUAAUGACCGGACCCAGAGUCGGGGGCGAGCCAAUCGAAAUCAAAUUCCGUGGUUGCAGCGAGUUUGGUUCGACCCGCCAGGCCACAAAACGUUUAGCUGGGUCCGGGCCAUGAGCCUACUUUGGCCCAACCUGACCCGAACUCGCUGCUGCAACGGGUCCGCUUAUGCUUUCUUGCAUCUACUGAACAUACUUACAUCUUACGGUUCGACCCGCACGACUCAGGGUCGUUUACGGAUGACUCCGACUCGGUAGACCUCUAGAUAAAAAUCGAAAACUGUCUAGGUUUUGUACAGCUCAACCUAGUAGUACUUCGCUAUCUACUUAUGAGCAACGAAUGUUUUUCGACGAACAAGUUCACCGGUACGGAUGAUCGUUUUGCAUAACAGCACCCCCCUCCCUACCGAUAAUUACCAAAAAACUAAAGCUCCUGCCGAAAACUACCGAUAAAAUUAUAGUGCUCCUACCGAUAACCACCAAAAUAAGCUGGCCACAUUGAAUACUGCAACUCCUAUGCUCUGCUGUAAUUCUAGGUUUGAACCCACAAUGGGCAUAUUGUUAAGUUCAUUUCUUCAAAUGUCCUACACAUCGAACUACGAGGAUUGUUGUAGCCGUUAUCAGUUCGACGACAAAGAACACUGAGCUAUUGUUGAAAUAA